rnacentral:rRNA from 1 species
ACGGGACCCCGCACAAGCGGUGGAUCAUGUUUGUUUAAUUCGAUGAUACGCGAAGAACCUUUACCAGGUCUUGACAUCCCCUGCAAAGCUAUGGAGACAUAGUGGAGGUUAUCAGGGAGACAGGUGGUGCAUGGUUGUCGUCAGCUCGUGUCGUGAGAUGUUGGGUUAAGUCCCGCAACGAGCGCAACCCUUAUUGCUAGUUACCAUCAUUGAGUUGGGGACUCUAGCGAGACUGCCAGUGAUAAACUGGAGAAGUGGGGAUGACGUCAAAUCAUCAUGCCCCUUAUGACCUGGGCUACAAACGUGAUACAAUGGCUGAAACAAAGGGCAGCGAAGCAGUGAUGUGGAGCGAAACCCAAAAAAGCAGUCUCAGUUCGGAUUGAAGUCUGCAACUCGACUUCAUGAAGUCGGAAUCGCUAGUAAUCGCGGAUCAGAACGCCGCGGUGAAUACGUUCUCGGGGUUU